ensembl:lncRNA
GCACGGUUCUCCUCACAUACAGAACACGCGCUCCUUCCCGCUCUGCUCUGCCCCUCACCCACAGACCUGCCAUCGUGGUUCUCUGGAAGGCGCUCCCCAGCACACACCAGGUUGUUGAUGCUUAUCUUUCAGGUCUCCGCUGACAUGUCGCCCUUUCCCGGAAGUCAGCCUCAGUGAUGCGAGGCAAGCACAAUGUGCCAGCUACAGAGUUGAGGAGAUGCUCGAAAGAUAUUUGUUGGAUGGAUGGAUGAAUGGUCCAGUCACAGCAGUAUCCCUGGGGCAUAUUCGUGAGGUGUCAAAGACAGAUGUAAAGCUCUUUGAGGAAGAACCACCCUGUGUCCCUUGGACUCACAGCACCAAGGGACACCGAGCACCGAGGGACUCGGGAUGACGUGGGGAUCGGUGACUGUAUACAGCUAUGGACGCAGACAGAUGGAUUUGUGGCUCAGGGUCAUCACGCAUGGAGACACGCUUACCCCAGCCUGAAGACAUGACCUGCCUUCUCGGGGAUAGUUGUCGGCCAUUCUCUUCCGAGUCACACAGGAAGAAGGUGAUCUCAUCUUUAUUGCCACUCUUCCCCGACCCCGACCUGAAAGCAGGAUUAGCCCUGAUGUCCAUAAGGUGGCAGAGGCCCUUGGCUCUGUCUGGGAGGCAUUGCUGGCUGUCAUGUGUUGUGCUAACCUUGGGAGUGACCUUGAUUGGGGAGGCAGGGAACAAGCAAGAAAUUAGUAUGUUGGAGAGCUGGCCAGUUUCCCGGUUAAGGAGGGCUGGCUCAGGGUCCACCCCCAAGAUGAACUUGGAGCUCUUUGAGAGCAAGACCUAUGUCUGAAGCAUCUCUGUAUUCAUAGUGCCUCAAUUAACACCUGGCACGUAGCAGGUGUUCAUCCAACACUGGGCGCUCCUGUAGUUGCCAGCAACCAGAGUUACCAGCAAGGAGGUAACAGGAAAACAGAUGUUAACGACUGUACUGAAAGGCCCCACCUGUGCUGACCACCACAAAGGCAUCAUCCUUUGCUAUAGAGCAGAGUUCUGGGUCCCAAGCACAAAAUCCAGGAAC